GUCCUCGUGGUGUAGUGGUUAUCAUACUCUCUUAGGGAACGCUAUGGGAGUGGCCCCGCGUUCGAAUCGCGGCGAGGACC